UACUCCAUAAACAACGUUUUUACUAUGGCAUCUAUCGUGUAGUUCAUAUUUAGUAGCUUUACAGAUAUUUUUCAUACAUCGUGUUUCUUUCUUGUAUGCUGAACUUGUUAUUAAUGAUUUAAGGGAGAUACCUGGUUUUUGUACUAUUUUAAUAGGUGACGAAACUUCGAUAUUAGAUGUCUAUUUUUUGGUCAUACAUUAUAGGAAGACAUUAGAGACCUUUGUCCUCUAAAUGUUAACAACAGAACAUAUAUAAUGUCACCAGAAGCUAGAUAUGAAGAUCUACCUGUCAUAGUCGCUCUAUCUACGGUGUACAUGCCGGUUUCAGCUAUCCAGAGCGUUCCAAAAUUGAAAACCGGUGAAUAGCCAAAACCGAGAUUUCUUAUCUUCGCUCAUCAUCUUUCUUCAACAGGCCUAGCGUGUACCUUGUUCUAACAGUACCUAUAAUUUUAUCAUUAUUUGACAGAGCGAAACAGUCUACACUCUCUUUGACUACCUAUUUUAUUAUUAUUCAUACUUCAUAACCUAGUAACCCACGUACACCAUCUCAUAAAAAAGUAAACAAACAAGUAUUAGGAAAAAAUUAUCGCUAAACAAAAAAAGCUAUGUAGGGUUGGCUACUGAACUUGAAAAAAAAGAACCAGUCAAGACAGGGAUGGAAGCUGACAUAUCACUUGAUCCAGCUAAUGAUCACAUAACAGACUAAGCCGUCUCGACUUUACAUGGAGAAUAAAACCCCUACAUUAUUGGCUUUCUCACUAGCAAAACAAGUAGAACCAGAAUUUUUUCAAACGUAAAAUAUUACACUUCUAUCAAAUAAAAAUUAACUAAAGGAAUGAUGUAAUAAUUUUUCCUAACACUGUUAGGUAUCUUUGCACCCAACUUGAAUAUGAAAACUUAUAAGAUCGUUUAAGUAAUGUACAGUAAAUUGUAAACUGCGAAGAUAAAUAAAGAUCGUGAG